UACGUAGGGGGCAAGCGUUGUCCGGAAUCAUUGGGCGUAAAGAGCGUGUAGGUGGCUCGGUAAGUCCGCUGUGAAAGUCCAGGGCUCAACCCUGGAAUGCCGGUGGAAACUGUCGGGCUAGAGUCCGGAAGAGGCGAGUGGAAUUCCUGGUGUAGCGGUGAAAUGCGCAGAUAUCAGGAGGAACACCAAUGGCGAAGGCAGCUCGCUGGGACGGUACUGACACUGAGACGCGAAAGCGUGGGGAGCAAACAGGAUUAGAUACCCUGGUAGUCC
rnacentral:rRNA from 1 species